AAAGCUUUAAAAAGUCAUAAAAAAGAAAAGAAAAGUCAGUUUAGCAUGUUGAAAAAAGUGCGAAAAAAGCGAUAGUAUAUUACAUGGAAAAAACUAAUAGGUCAUAGUAGGGUAUGAUGAAAAAAGCUAUAAAAAGUCUUAGUACAGUAUGUUGAAAAAAGUCAUAAAGGCAGAGUAUGUGAAAAAAAUGACGAAAAAGAAAAAAUCUGUAUAGUAUGUCGGAAAAACCUCAUAGUACAGAAUGUCAAUAAAAGGGAAAUAGUACAUUAUGUUUCUAAAUGUAUUUAAAUGAAACACCUAUAUACUAUGCAGGUGCACACACACAUUACAACACUUCAGGACACAAGUCUCACCACACACGUUCAUGCAAGCUUCAGCCGAUCCGUGAGGGAGCCGUCAGGUUAAGGGAGGCAGUGUGGCCCACAUUAGUGAUUAGCAGAAGAUAGCAGAAAUGAUUACCUAGUGCCAACGUAACAUUAUCUAACAGACCGUGGAAGCGUCGCGGAUGUAUUUUUGAACGACUAAAGUACUGAAGGAGGUCUUCUUGCCGGGGUCAGGCGAAAAUGCAUUCUAGCAUUUCUGUUAAUCAGAAAUUGAUGAGUCGAUCAAUGUUAAACUUGUAUUUCAUUGUUGCCUCGUCAGUCAUGAAUAUAUAAAUAUAUAGACUGUUGUUGAGAAGUGCAUCUGGUGAAGAUAUUUCCCACAAUUCCUUACCUUUGUCAGACUUGUCCUCAGUUCCUGAUCCCGAGUGGCUUCCAGAGCUGGACUGGCUCCCUGCGGAGGAGGGCAGGGCCAGCAGGCCCCUGAGUUCUUCGUUACCGUGGGUGAGGUCUCCGCCCUCCGAGCUGUUGAGCGAGUCGCUGAGGGCCGAGAGGGAAGAGGAGGUGCUCUUGGUCUCGCUGAGGGGACUUCUUGAGCUCAGACCUGGACACAAGACGACAGAACGUAGUCACAGACGCUGCAGCAGAGCGAGAACAUCCACUGCUCCUUGUCCACAUGGAGCGACAUGUGGCUGACAAACUGGGCAUUCAGCUCCGUCUGGAAAUCACACACAUGGCAGCUGGACAAGAGAACAGAGAGGAAGAGGAAGAUGGCGAGAACAACCGUCAGCUUUAGUGUUAUAUUAUGUCUGCAUAAAUUGGUACGUGGUACAGAGUGGAUACAUUUCUAUUCAUUUGUUAGACAAUCGAAAAUAAAAUAUUUCCUCACUGCA